GGGGGCGAUUUGGGCUCGACGGGAAGGAAAGAAGCAUCGGUGGCGAGCCGGGUGGCUCCCGUUAACAGCCAACCAAAAUAAGUGCGGCUCCUGUUGCUUUGGCUGCGUAAUGAAACGCAGCAGCCCGCCUGAAGUUCGCUCGGUGGCUUCAGGGUCGGGUUCAGAGAGCCGAGUGCGUCGCUGCUGACGCCCGCUAAGCAGCGACAAAGAAAAAAGCGGGCUGGGCGGUCAGCAGCCUGCCAGUGGGCGGCUGACUGCCGAGAAACAAAACACUGGCUACGCUCGUAGGCACCGAUGCUCCAGCCUUCUCGGACGCGGGUUCAAUUCCCGCCGCCUCCACCA
rnacentral:tmRNA from 1 species